GACGAACGCUGGCGGCGUGCUUAACACAUGCCAGUCGAACGGAAAGGCCCUGCUUUUGUGGGGUGCUCGAGUGGCGAACGGGUGAGUAACACGUGAGUAACCUGCCCUUGACUUUGGGAUAACUUCAGGAAACUGGGGCUAAUACCGGAUAGGAGCUCCUGCUGCAUGGUGGGGGUUGGAAAGUUUCGGCGGUUGGGGAUGGACUCGCGGCUUAUCAGCUUGUUGGUGGGGUAGUGGCUUACCAAGGCUUUGACGGGUAGCCGGCCUGAGAGGGUGACCGGCCACAAUGGGACUGAGAUACGGCCCAGACUCCUACGGGAGGCAGCAGUGGGGAAUAUUGCCCAAUGGGAGGAAGCCUGAUGCAGCAACGCCGCGUGCGGGAUGACGGCCUUCGGGUUGUAAACCGCUUUCGCCUGUGACGAAGCGUGAGUGACGGUAAUGGGUAAAGAAGCACCGGCUAACUACGUG
rnacentral:rRNA from 1 species